rnacentral:rRNA from 1 species
CGGACGGGUGAGUAACGCGUGGAAAACCUGCCGUAUACUGGGGGAUAACACUUAGAAAUAGGUGCUAAUACCGCAUAAGCGCACAGCUUCGCAUGAAGCGGUGUGAAAAACUCUGGUGGUAUACGAUGGUUCCGCGUCUGAUUAGCUAGUUGGUGGGGUAAUGGCCUACCAAGGCAACGAUCAGUAGCCGGCCUGAGAGGGUGAACGGCCACAUAGGGACUGAGACACGGCCCAAACUCCUACGGAAGGCAGCAG